CAGUAGCCACGGGAAUACGAAGGGGGCUAGCGUUGUUCGGAAUUACUGGGCGUAAAGGGCGCGUAGGCGGCCAUUCAAGUUAGAUGUGAAAGCCCUGGGCUCAACCUAGGAAUUGCAUUUGAUACUGUUUGGCUUGAGUUCGGGAGAGGUGAGUGGAAUUCCCAGUGUAGAGGUGAAAUUCGUAGAUAUUGGGAAGAACACCAGUGGCGAAGGCGGCUCACUGGACCGACACUGACGCUGAGGCGCGAAAGCGUGGGGAGCAAACAGGAUUAGAUACCCCAGUAGUCCCUGUCUCUUAUAC
rnacentral:rRNA from 1 species